UACGUAGGGUGCAAGCGUUAUCCGGAAUUAUUGGGCGUAAAGAGCUCGUAGGCGGUUUGUCGCGUCUGCUGUGAAAACUGGAGGCUCAACCUCCAGCCUGCAGUGGGUACGGGCAAACUAGAGUGCGGUAGGGGAGAUUGGAAUUCCUGGUGUAGCGGUGGAAUGCGCAGAUAUCAGGAGGAACACCAAUGGCGAAGGCAGAUCUCUGGGCCGUAACUGACGCUGAGGAGCGAAAGCAUGGGGGAGCGAACAGG
rnacentral:rRNA from 1 species